AUAUCAGUAAAGGGAGGACAAGAAAACAAUGAUGAUUCUGUUAGUAGCGGCGAGUGAAAACAGAUUAGCCCCAAUGGUAAAGACGAAAGUCUGUUGUAAAGGGUGCGGGUAAUGUUUUGGAAAAAACAUUCGUAGAGGGUGAUAGACCUGUACGCUUGACCUAUAUUAGCGAGUAGCACUGUUUGGUAGUGCAGUGUGAAUGGGUGGUUGUGAUCAUCUAAGGCUAAAUAUGACCGGAGACCGAUAGCGCACAAGUA
rnacentral:rRNA from 1 species